GACCGCGUAGCUCUGUUGGAAGAGCAUUGGGCUAGUAUUCCAAAGGUCGUAGGUUCGAAUCCCACCGUGGCCG
rnacentral:tRNA from 1 species